AGACGUCUACAUUAGAUACCCCCGUAGUCCCAGCCGUAAACUAUGCGCGUUAGGUGUAUCGGUGACCACGAGUUACCGAGGUGCCGAAGGGAAACCGUGAAACGUGCCGCCUGGGAAGUACGGUCGCAAGGCUGAAACUUAAAGGAAUUGGCGGGGGAGCACAACAACGGGUGGAGCCUGCGGUUUAAUUGGACUCAACGCCGGACAACUCACCGGGGACGACAGCAAUAUGUAGGCCAGGUUGAAGACCUUGCCUGAAUCGCUG
rnacentral:rRNA from 1 species